rnacentral:rRNA from 1 species
UAAUGUUUGAUGUUCUAACGUUGGCCCCUGAUCGGGGUUGCGGACAGUGUCUGGUGGGUAGUUUGACUGGGGCGGUCUCCUCCUAAAGAGUAACGGAGGAGCACGAAGGUUGGCUAAUCCUGGUCGGACAUCAGGAGGUUAGUGCAAUGGCAUAAGCCAGCUUGACUGCGAGCGUGACGGCGCGAGCAGGUGCGAAAGCAGGUCAUAGUGAUCCGGUGGUUCUGAAUGGAAGGGCCAUCGCUCAACGGAUAAAAGGUACUCCGGGGAUAACAGGCUGAUACCGCCCAAGAGUUCAUAUCGACGGCGGUGUUUGGCACCUCGAUGUCGGCUCAUCACAUCCUGGGGCUGAAGUAGGUCCCAAGGGUAUGGCUGUUCGCCAUUUAAAGUGGUACGCGAGCUGGGUUUAGAACGUCGUGAGACAGUUCGGUCCCUAUCUGCCGUGGGCGCUGGAGAACUGAGGGGGGCUGCUCCUAGUACGAGAGGACCGGAGUGGACGCAUCACUGGUGUUCGGGUUGUCAUGCCAAUGGCACUGCCCGGUAGCUAAAUGCGGAAGAGAUAAGUGCUGAAAGCAUCUAAGCACGAAACUUGCCCCGAGAUG